AUUGAACGCUGGCGGAAUGCUUUACACAUGCAAGUCGAACGGCAGCACGGACUUCGGUCUGGUGGCGAGUGGCGAACGGGUGAGUAAUGUAUCGGAACGUGCCCAGUCGUGGGGGAUAACGUAGUGAAAAUUACGCUAAUACCGCAUACGAUCUAUGAUGAAAGCGGGGGAUCGCAAGACCUCGCGCGAUUGGAGCGGCCGAUAUCAGAUUAGGUAGUUGGUGGGGUAAAGGCCCACCAAGCCAACGAUCUGUAGCUGGUCUGAGAGGACGACCAGCCACACUGGAACUGAGACACGGUCCAGACUCCUACGGGAGGCAGCAGUGGGGAAUUUUGGACAAUGGGCGAAAGCAUGAUCCAGCCAUUCCGCGUGCAGGAUGAAGGCCCUCGGGUUGUAAACUGCUUUUGUACAGAACGAAAAGGUUUCUACUAAUACUAGGAGCUCAUGACGGUACUGUAAGAAUAAGCACCGGCUAACUACGUGCCAGCCGCCGCCGUAA
rnacentral:rRNA from 1 species